rnacentral:rRNA from 1 species
AAUAGGGCGGCACCUUGACGGUACCUAUCGAGGAAGCCCCGGCUAACUACGUGCCAGCAGCCGCGGUAAUACGUAGGGGGCAAGCGUUGUCCGGAAUUAUUGGGCGUAAAGCGCGCGUAGGCGGUUUCUUAAGUCUGAUGUGAAAUCUUGCGGCUCAACCGCAAGCGGUCAUUGGAAACUGGGGAACUUGAGUGCAGAAGAGGAGAGUGGAAUUCCACGUGUAGCGGUGAAAUGCGUAGAUAUGUGGAGGAACACCAGUGGCGAAGGCGACUCUCUGGUCUGUAACUGACGCUGAGGUGCGAAAGCGUGGGGAGCGAACAGGAUUAGAUACCCUGGUAGUCCACGCCGUAAACGAUGAGUGCUAGGUGUUAGGGGGUUUCCGCCCCUUAGUGCUGCAGUUAACGCAUUAAGCACUCCGCCUGGGGAGUACGGCCGCAAGGCUGAAACUCAAAAGAAUUGACGGGGGCCCGCACAAGCGGUGGAGCAUGUGGUUUAAUUCGAAGCAACGCGAAGAACCUUACCAGGUCUUGACAUCUUCGGAUGUCCCUAGAGAUAGGGAGUUCCCUUCGGGGACCGAAUGACAGGUGGUGCAUGGUUGUCGUCAGCUCGUGUCGUGAGAUGUUGGGUUAAGUCCCGCAACGAGCGCAACCCUUGAUCUUAGUUGCCAGCAUUCAGUUGGGCACUCUAAGGUGACUGCCGGUGACAAACCGGAGGAAGGUGGGGAUGACGUCAAAUCAUCAUGCCCCUUAUGACCUGGGCUACACACGUGCUACAAUGGAUGGUACAGAGGGAAGCAAAACCGCGAGGUCAAGCCAAUCCCAUAAAACCAUUCUCAGUUCGGAUUGUAGGCUGCAACUCGCCUACAUGAAGCCGGAAUCGCUAGUAAUCGUGGAUCAGCAUGCCACGGUGAAUACGUUCCCGGGCCUUGUACACACCGCCCGUCACACCACGAGAGUUGGCAACACCCGAAGUCGGUGGGGUAACCAUUUGGAACCAGCCGCCGAAGGUGGGGCCAAUGAUUGGGGUGAAGUCGUAACAAGGUAGCCGUAUCGGAAGGUGCGGCUGGAUCACCUCCUUUCUAAGGAUUAUAGGAACACCUUCGUUGAAGGUGCAAAGAUCAUAC